rnacentral:rRNA from 1 species
AACGGGGGGGAACGAGCGUUACUCAUCUUGACUGGGCUUAAAGGGCACGCAGACGGCUUUUCAUGUUUCCUAGUUGAAAGAUACCGGCGCAGCCGAUAACGAGUAGGUUACACAGCUUAGCUAGAGUAUAGUUAAGGAGCGGAGUACGUAUGGACGAAGGGGUGAUAUCCGUUGGGAGCCCAUAUAGACUGUCGACAGGCGAUGGCGUCUCUCUAGAUUAUACUGACGUUCAUGUGCGAAAGUGCGAGGAGUGAUAGGG